CCUUAACACAUUUCAAUUAUAUUCUGUAAAUAUAUCUAAUCACAGUAUUACUUCUUAUAGGUGAAUUCAUAUAAAAUAAUUAGGUACAUUUUGUAAAUAGAUUAAAUAAUUUGUGUAGGUAAACCAGGGGCGUAUUUACAAGAGAUAUGAGGAAUAAAUCCCCCUUGGCUUAUAUAGGCUUAUAUAUAAGUCUAGUUCAAACCCUGAAAGAUCUUUCUAAAAUUUAAAGAGAAUAAAGAACUAGGUAUUUUAGAAAUAACAUGAAAUAAGGACAUAUUUUACCCAUUUUACUAUAAC